CCCGCACAAGCGGUGGAGCAUGUGGUUAAUUCGAUGAUACGCGAGGAACCUUACCUGGGCUCAAAUGUAUGUUGACGUAUUCUGAAAGGGAUACUUCUUCGGACAAUAUACAAGGUGCUGCAUGGUUGUCGUCAGCUCGUGCCGUGAGGUGUCGGGUUAAGUCCCAUAACGAGCGCAACCCCUAUCAUUAGUUGCCAUCAGGUCAAGCUGGGGACUCUAAAGGAACUGCCUACGCAAGUAGUGAGGAAGGCGGGGAUGACGUCAAAUCAGCACGGCCCUUACGUCCAGGGCUACACACGUGCUACAAUGGCCGAUACAGAGGGCAGCUACCUGGUGACAGGAUGCAAAUCUCCAAAGUCGGUCUCAGUUCGGAUCGGAGUCUGCAACCCGACUCCGUGAAGUUGGAUUCGCUAGUAAUCGCGCAUCAGCCAUGGCGCGGUGAAUACGUUCCCGGGCCUU
rnacentral:rRNA from 1 species